rnacentral:rRNA from 1 species
UACGUAGGCAGCAAGCGUUGUUCGGAAUUACUGGGCGUAAAGAGUGUGUAGGCGGUGUUCUAAGUUUGUCGUGAAAUCUCCCGGCUUAACUGGGAGGGUGCGGCGAAAACUGGAAUGCUAGAGGAUGGGAGAGGUAAGCGGAAUUCCUGGUAUGGCGGUGAAAUGCGUAGAUAUCAGGAGGAACACCUGUGGUGUAGACAGCUUACUGGACCAUUUCUGACGCUGAGACACGAAAGCGUGGGUAGCAAACAGG